rnacentral:rRNA from 1 species
GACGAACGCUGGCGGCGUGCUUAACACAUGCAAGUCGAACGGAAAGGCCCUGCUUUUGUGGGGUGCUCGAGUGGCGAGCGGGUGAGUAACACGUGAGUAACCUGCCCUUGACUUUGGGAUAACUUCAGGAAACUGGGGCUAAUACCGGAUAGGAGCUCCUGCUGCAUGGUGGGGGUUGGAAAGUUUCGGCGGUUGGGGAUGGACUCGCGGCUUAUCAGCUUGUUGGUGGGGUAGUGGCUUACCAAGGCUUUGACGGGUAGCCGGCCUGAGAGGGUGACCGGCCACAUUGGGACUGAGAUACGGCCCAGACUCCUACGGGAGGCAGCAGUGGGGAAUAUUGCACAAUGGGCGGAAGCCUGAUGCAGCAACGCCGCGUGCGGGAUGACGGCCUUCGGGUUGUAAACCGCUUUCGCCUGUGACGAAGCGUGAGUGACGGUAAUGGGUAAAGAAGCACCGGCUAACUACGUGCCAGCAGCCGCGGUGAUACGUAGGGUGCGAGCGUUGUCCGGAUUUAUUGGGCGUAAAGGGCUCGUAGGUGGUUGAUCGCGUCGGAAGUGUAAUCUUGGGGCUUAACCCUGAGCGUGCUUUCGAUACGGGUUGACUUGAGGAAGGUAGGGGAGAAUGGAAUUCCUGGUGGAGCGGUGGAAUGCGCAGAUAUCAGGAGGAACACCAGUGGCGAAGGCGGUUCUCUGGGCCUUUCCUGACGCUGAGGAGCGAAAGCGUGGGGAGCGAACAGGCUUAGAUACCCUGGUAGUCCACGCUGUAAACGGUGGGUACUAGGUGUGGGGUCCAUUCCACGGGUUCCGUGCCGUAGCUAACGCUUUAAGUACCCCGCCUGGGGAGUACGGCCGCAAGGCUAAAACUCAAAGGAAUUGACGGGGCCCCGCACAAGCGGCGGAGCAUGCGGAUUAAUUCGAUGCAACGCGUAGAACCUUACCUGGGUUUGACAUGGAUCGGGAGUGCUCAGAGAUGGGUGUGCCUCUUUUGGGGUCGGUUCACAGGUGGUGCAUGGCUGUCGUCAGCUCGUGUCGUGAGAUGUUGGGUUAAGUCCCGCAACGAGCGCAACCCUUGUUCACUGUUGCCAGCACGUUAUGGUGGGGACUCAGUGGAGACCGCCGGGGUCAACUCGGAGGAAGGUGGGGAUGACGUCAAGUCAUCAUGCCCCUUAUGUCCAGGGCUUCACGCAUGCUACAAUGGCUGGUACAGAGAGUGGCGAGCCUGUGAGGGUGAGCGAAUCUCGGAAAGCCGGUCUCAGUUCGGAUUGGGGUCUGCAACUCGACCUCAUGAAGUCGGAGUCGCUAGUAAUCGCAGAUCAGCAACGCUGCGGUGAAAACGUUCCCGGGGCU